UACGUAGGUGGCAAGCGUUAUCCGGAUUUAUUGGGCGUAAAGGGCUCGCAGGCGGUUCCUUAAGUCUGAUGUGAAAGCCCCCGGCUCAACCGGGGAGGGUCAUUGGAAACUGGGAGACUUGAGUGCAGAAGAGGAGAGUGGAAUUCCAUGUGUAGCGGUGAAAUGCGUAGAUAUAUGGAGGAACACCAGUGGCGAAGGCGGCUCUCUGGUCUGUAACUGACGCUGAGGAGCGAAAGCGUGGGGAGCGA
rnacentral:rRNA from 1 species